AUGGCAGAAUGGCUUCCACAGCUCAAGCUUGCCUCGCGCUCCUCCCCGUGGUCCUGGCCUGAGCGCCAGGUGCUGUGCUGUGUGCCCCACACCCAGUCCUGCUCCCUGAUGCCCGCGCAGGGCCCCCGCCAGCAGCAGGAGGCACGUGAGCUGCUCUGUUGUGCUCCCCCGGCGGGCAGGGCCUCCCAGAGGGGAUGCCGGGGGAAGUCAUGGCUCAGAGUGGCCCGUGGGGGAGAGGCAGGAAGGGGACUGACACCCCCCCCCCCGGUUCUUCCCAUCUCCCGUCUUCCCUUGGACCGAACUCCCUGCAUUGUGGUUUCAUCUUUUCCCCAGGCUGCCAAACGCAGGUCACUGCAGGAAAGCGUUCUACCGGGGCUGGAGGAGGCUGGAGAGGCUGGAGGCCCAGCGACCACGGCUGUUUGCUGUCCCCAGCUGUUCCCGGCCGUCCCCGGCUGUCCCUGGCCCCCAGAGGUCACAACAAGGCUGAAUUUGGCCUCUGCCCUCCCUGGGUGGGCGGGCCUCACAACCCCAGGUCCGCAGGAAGUGUCCGUUCAAAUCUUGCAGCUACUUGGAAUUUUUAAAGUGCAUUGCACACACACUUCCUGUGACGUUUCCAGGACCCUUGGGGAAGGUCGGACUGCAGUUGGCGUUUCCGUGGUGAGUGGGGAGACCCAGCAGGUGUAA
rnacentral:lncRNA from 1 species